rnacentral:rRNA from 1 species
AACGAACGCUGGCGGCAUGCCUAACACAUGCAAGUCGAACGAGACCUUCGGGUCUAGUGGCGCACGGGUGCGUAACGCGUGGGAAUCUGCCCUUGGGUGCGGAAUAACAGUUAGAAAUGACUGCCAAUACCGCAUAAUGACUCCGGUCCAAAGAUUUAUCGCCCAAGGAUGAGCCCGCGUCGGAUUAGCUAGUUGGUGAGGUAAAAGCUCACCAAGGCGACGAUCCGUAGCUGGUCUGAGAGGAUGAUCAGCCACACUGGGACUGAGACACGGCCCAGACUCCUACGGGAGGCAGCAGUGGGGAAUAUUGGACAAUGGGCGAAAGCCUGAUCCAGCAAUGCCGCGUGAGUGAUGAAGGCCUUAGGGUUGUAAAGCUCUUUUACCCGGGAUGAUAAUGACAGUACCGGGAGAAUAAGCCCCGGCUAACUCCGUGCCAGCCGCCGCAGUAACAC